UCAUCCAGAGCCACAACAGCUGACUGAGCCAAGGCUUGGACUGUAUUUAACUUCAUAAACUAAAGCAGAACUAGUCGAAAACAACCAUAGAUGAUGAUGAUGAUGAUGAUGAUGAUAGUUUCUCAUUUGGUCUGGGCCACAUGACACCGGGUCGCGACCCGGGUAGAGCAUGUCAGCGUGAAAGUGGCUUUAGUGGGUUUGAAUAAAGAUUCUUGGGUUUGCCAGUGGCUCCACUAAAUGAAUAAUCUGAGUGUGUGUGUAUACAGUCGGCGCCGCCUAAUCGGGAUACUGAUGAUCGGGAUUUCUGCUUAAAUGGGAUAAAACUCUGGGAGACGGUUCUUCACAAUGCUAUUUAUGUCAUUUAAUUGGGAUGUCACAUCGUUUAAUUGGGAUACAGUAUUUUCAAAUGAUGAAGAGAGAUCGCUUUUCAGAGCAAGACAGGUUUGCGUAGCACAGUGCAGUAAGUAUGUGAUUAACCUGUGACUUGUGUAAACCACGUUGAACUCUUGAAGGAGCUGGAGUCUCCUGUGGUUUCAUUGGCUGCUGUAGCAACGAAAGUUGGCAUGUCAACUUUGCAGGUGCCUCGCUUUGUGAUAAGAUGUGAUUUGAUUAUUUUUCAUUUCAUGUUUUUAAUUUUGUUUCGGAAUAAAAAAAAAAAUUGACUGCUAUUUUAAAUUAUGUAUUUAACAUUUAAUCAUAAUGUGAUGUGAUUUCAUUCAUUUUAUUUUCAAAAAAAUGUGACUUAGGUUGUCUCAAAUGCCUCUCGUGUAAUUAGGACAACCGUUUAUUCUGGAUAUUUUUACUUCUCCUGAGGCGUCCUGAUAAAGCAGCGGCGACAGCUCUGUUUGUAUUAAACCCCUCAAAAUAUUCCUUUUGACCUUGAACUGAAAUCUACAACUCACCCUACUUGAUUUUUCACAAGCUAGCUCUGUCGGACAUUAUUUUUGUAAAUUCACCAGAAAUAUCCACCUUAUAACUCACUGUGUACAUUUUCCUAGUUGUCAAAUCCCUUCGAUCGCGCCUCAAAGAAAGAUUUGAAACAAUGACAGAUUGAUACUCCCUUUCUGUAUGGCUACUGAUGUUAACCAAUCAACCGCAAAGCUUCUAUCACCCUGGCAACACAUGAUGUUUGCAAGCCACUUUUUUUGGCUUGUGGUUUAUUUUUAAGCCUUGUAAAAAUCUAUGACUAAAAAGAUAU